rnacentral:lncRNA from 1 species
UGGUCCUUGACGGCACCAACUGCGCCCUUCUUCCUCCAGUCGACGGACUCGGGCAGCUCGUCGUUGUCGGCGGCCUGGUACCUGGCGCUGAGCUUCCGCUCCCGGUCGGGCUUAGUGCGGGCGCCGAGGUAGGUGCUGCGGUACUCCUCGUUGGUGAGGUCGGCGAAGCGGUUGAGGCCGAGGCGGAAGGAGUGGACCCCGGCGUCGGCGGCGGCGUUGUGCUGGUCGAUGUAGCGGAGGUUGUCCCGGAACGCCUCGAAGCGGCGCUCCUCCUCGCCGAUGGCGUUGUACGUACUGCCGUGCUCCGCCAUCCACUCGGCGUACAUCCGCCGGACCUCCUCCUCGCUCCGCUCCCCGUAGGACACGAUCGACAUGUCCGCCGCCGCCGCCAGCGACACCAUCAGCAGCAGCGCCGCCGAGGCCGCCAGCAGAGCCAUGGAGGUCCUCAUCCCCGAGACCAGAGGUGCGUCACCGAGCAGGAAGAGAGGGGUAGCAGAUGGGAUGGAUUGGGUAGCAGCCGUGCUUUUCUUCUCCAUGGACGAUGGUAUCGGAGGUCGCUUUAUAGGAA